rnacentral:rRNA from 1 species
CCUACGGGGGACUGCAGUCGAGAAUCAUUCACAAUGGGGGAAACCCUGAUGGGGCGACGCCGCGUGGGGGAAUGAAGGUCUGCGGAUUGUAAACCCCUGUCAUGUGGGAGCAAAUUAAAAAGAUAGUACCACAAGAGGAAGAGACGGCUAACUCUGUGCCAGCAGCCGCGGUAAUACAGAGGUCUCAAGCGUUGUUCGGAAUCACUGGGCGUAAAGCGUGCGUAGGCUGUUUCGUAAGUCGUGUGUGAAAGGCGCGGGCUCAACCCGCGGACGGCACAUGAUACUGCGAGACUAGAGUAAUGGAGGGGGAACCGGAAUUCUCGGUGUAGCAGUGAAAUGCGGAGAUAUCGAGAGGAACACUCGUGGCGAAGGCGGGUUCCUGGACAUUAACUGACGCUGAGGCACGAAGGCCAGGGGAGCGAAAGGGAUUAGAUACCCCAGUAGUC